rnacentral:ncRNA from 2 species
UACGUCUCACGUAACUGGCGAAACACCGCGUGCGCGCACCAUUCGGAUGCGCGGCGCGGCAAAGGUGGGCACCCACCGGGGAACGUGAGACGCCAUACGCCGUUCGCCUGGGCAGCCAUC